UAGCGGCGGACGGGUGAGUAACGCGUGGGCAACCUGCCUCACACUGGGGGAUAACACAGGGAAACUUGUGCUAAUACCGCAUAACAUCAUGAAAGGACAUCCUUUUAUGAUCAAAGGAGCAAUCCGGUGAGAGAUGGGCCCGCGUCCAAUUAGCUAGUUGGUGGUGUAACGGACCACCAAGGCGACGAUUGGUAGCCGAACUGAGAGGUUGAUCGGCCACAUUGGGACUGAGAUACGGCCCAGACUCCUACGGGAGGCAGCAGUGGGGAAUAUUGCGCAAUGGGGGAAACCCUGAUGCAGCGACGCCGCGUGAAGGAUGAAGGUUUUCGGAUCGUAAACUUCUAUCAGCAGGGACGAUAAAAUGACGGUACCCACAAAGGAAGCACCGGCUAACUCCGUGCCAGCAGCCGCGGUAAUACGGAGGGUGCAAGCGUUGUUCGGAAUUACUGGGCGUAAAGGGCGAGUAGGUGGUUUAUUAAGUCAGAAGUGAAAACUCCGGGCUCAACUCGGAGACUGCUCCUGAAACUGGUAGACUUGAGUGCAAGAGAGGGAAGUGGAAUUCCUAGUGUAGCGGUGAAAUGCGUAGAUAUUAGGAGGAACACCAGUGGCGAAGGCGACUUCCUGGCUUGUAACUGACACUGAGGCGCGAAAGCGUGGGGAUCAAACAGGAUUAGAUACCCUGGUAGUCCACGCCGUAAACGAUGAGUGCUAGGUGUCGGGGGUAUCGACCCCCUCGGUGCCACAGCUAACGCAAUAAGCACUCCGCCUGGGGAGUACGGUCGCAAGACUGAAACUCAAAGGAAUUGACGGGGGCCCGCACAAGCGGUGGAGUAUGUGGUUUAAUUCGAAGCAACGCGAAGAACCUUACCAGGGCUUGACAUGCAGGUGAAUAAGCAAGAGAUUGCUUAGUCCUUCGGGACACCUGUGCAGGUGGUGCAUGGUUGUCGUCAGCUCGUGUCGUGAGAUGUUGGGUUAAGUCCCGCAACGAGCGCAACCCCUGUUGUUAGUUGCCAUCAUUAAGUUGGGCACUCUAACGAGACUGCCGGUGACAAAUCGGAGGAAGGUGGGGACGACGUCAAAUCAUCAUGCCCCUUAUGUCCUGGGCUACACACGUACUACAAUGGCUAUAACAGCAGGGAGCUAAGGAGCAAUCCGGAGCGAAUCCUCAAAAAUAGUCCCAGUUCAGAUUGUGGGCUGCAACCCGCCCACAUGAAGUCGGAAUUGCUAGUAAUGGCAGGUCAGCAUACUGCCGUGAAUACGUUCCCGGGCCUUGUACACACCGCCCGUCACACCACGAAAGUCGGCAACACCCGAAGCCGGUAGUUUAAC
rnacentral:rRNA from 1 species